rnacentral:rRNA from 1 species
UACGAAGGGGGCUAGCGUUGUUCGGAAUUACUGGGCGUAAAGCGUGCGUAGACGGUUUUGUAAGUCGGAUGUGAAAUCCCCGGGCUCAACCUGGGAAUUGCAUUCGAGACUGCAAGGCUUGGGUGCGGAAGAGGGAAGCGGAAUUUCCGGUGUAGCGGUGAAAUGCGUAGAUAUCGGAAGGAACAUCAGUGGCGAAAGCGGCUUCCUGGUCCAGCACCGACGUUCAGGCACGAAAGCGUGGGGAGCAAACAGG